rnacentral:rRNA from 1 species
UACGGAGGAUCCAAGCGUUAUCCGGAAUCAUUGGGUUUAAAGGGUCCGUAGGCGGUUUAGUAAGUCAGUGGUGAAAGCCCAUCGCUCAACGAUGGAACGGCCAUUGAUACUGCUAGACUUGAAUUACUAGGAAGUAACUAGAAUAUGUAGUGUAGCGGUGAAAUGCUUAGAUAUUACAUGGAAUACCAAUUGCGAAGGCAGGUUACUACUAGUGGAUUGACGCUGAUGGACGAAAGCGUGGGGAGCGAACAGGAUUAGAAACCCCAGUAGUCC